AAAUUGAAGAGUUUGAUCAUGGCUCAGAUUGAACGCUGGCGGCAGGCCUAACACAUGCAAGUCGAACGGUAACAGGAAACAGCUUGC
rnacentral:rRNA from 1 species